GUAGCAAACGUACUGUUGCUACAUUAUAGUAUUCUACAUUCUUGGAGUUAAUAAUAAUAACUACUGAAUAAAAAUGAAUUUUAAAAGCUUAACUUUUAUGUUAGCCACCAUAUUUUGCAUAAUGGUGUCCGUGUAUGCGGGUAAAGAUGAUCCUCCACCUCCUCCAGCUCCAAGUUCAGCAGGAGCAGGUUUAUAUGUUUCACCACAAAUACCAGUACUAGCAACUCCACCACCACCAAAAAAGUCAACUGCUAAAUAACAACAGUUAAAUUUACCGACAAAGCUGCAGUAUCCAAGAUCUGUGUCACAUUUUCAAAAUUGUAAAUUGUUCAUCUUUGUUUAUCAUAAUUAUGAUGUUUCAACCUUCAGAUUUUUCUAAUAACAAUGUAUUCUAAAUAACAUAUUCUGUUACCUAUCAUAUAAAUUAUAUUAUGUCUAUUACAUAUACCAAUAAAAAUAAUGUUCACCGAAUAAGUAAA